UCAGUGCUUACAGUUACAACAACAUGAUGUUUUCCCAAAAGGAUUUAUACCACUUCCUGCAAGUUUGGUAUCCUUAAUCCUGCUGUUUUUACAUUGCCUUUUAUCAGUCAGCUUAUGGCAGAGUUUGGCGUGUAUAAACUCAGAGAGCAAAUGCUGAGACAGAAUCUGAUUUCCACCCAUAAAUGUAUUGAAGGUUGGAAAGGAAAAGAAAUAGAGAGGAACAAGAGCUGAUGAAGAUUCAGGACUACAUUGUCACCUGGACAAGAGAUAAAAUCUGGUCAUAAGCAAAUUCAGCCAGGAAUUCUGAAGAAGGAUUUUAACUCUCCAAGUUGCAUAGCUGGAGAAUGGCUGUGCCGUAGAAAAAGAAGGCUCAGAAAACUUAAUUGGUUUUACAGUUUCAUCAAACUGAAACUCAAUUAAUAUUUUAAAGGAAUUUCAUGGCAUUGCUCUCUGAAAUAAUUGAGAAUUGGAUUAAGUGAUCCAGAACAUUGCUUCUAAUUCUAUUUUACUAAAAUACAGCUGUAAAUAAUAUGCCCAGAAAACAUGAAAGGCAACAAAUUCUCUGAAAAAAAGCAUAAUAGGCAAAAGAGAAAAUAGGUACAAAGGGCAGUGUCACAGCUCCAGGAGAAAGAAGAAUCUGAACUGGAAAGCAAAAGAUACAUAGGGAAGGGAGAAAGCACUAGGCAACACAUUAAAGUCAUCUAGUAAAAAAUACAAAACCACAAUGACAUUGUUUGUGUCAGAAACACUGUGAUUUAGUGUCCUUAUAAAUAUUAUAGGCAAUAUGAGCAGUACACAAAGGGCUCUCACAGAUGACCCUGGCCUGGGAGGACUUGAAAGGUGAGUCAGAAUAUGGAAAUUACACAGAGUGACCUACUGAGUCUGGGGACAUUACAUGAGAAAAUAACAACAUGAGAUUUCACUUGUAAGCAUGAAAACAUACCUGAGGCAAAAUCCUCCAAAACACUUGUAGUCAAUGGCAAACUGCUAGCAGGAAUACUGAAACACUUUGCUAUGAGAGUGGGCGGCCAAUUGAACAUAAGUGCACAUUACAGUUUGGCUGCAAAAAUGCCGAUGCAAUUUUAGGGUGAAGUUCCCUUGAUAUUUGAAUCAAAGGCAAUAGAGAUCUAUUUUCUACAUAAUUUUAAUGCAAAUGCAUCUGGAAUAACACACCCAGUUGGGGGAGUUGCUGUGUGUGGACAAAUUGGUAAAAGGAGAGAAAACAAUAAAAAAUACCAGGAUUCGAGACAGAUAGCCUUACAAAGAAGAUUUAAAAGCUCUGUGUGUAUGAACAAUAAAGGUCCUUUCAGCCCUGUUUUUCUGUGACUCCAUUCUAAGCAGGUAUAGAUUCAGAAGACAGGAGUGCCAAAGGGGAGGUAAUACUUUGGACUACUACAUAAAAUCAGAAGUGCCAAAUGGGGGGAAACUAGCAACAUGAAACCAUAGGCUGAGUAGCAGGAAAAUCUUUCAAGAGGUACUCAGCUGUAGAAAAGCUGCUGGGGGACCUGGUGGAAGCCUGGUCACUCAGGAUUUUUACAAGGCUGGACAAAACAUUAGAAAAUGUACCAUAGGGAGCAAUUCUCUGCUGGCCAAGAGCAGUGGAGCAGAUGAUCUAAUAGGCUUCUUCAUCUCUAACCUCUACAGUUGUAUGAUUUCUUACUGUAAAGCACAAUAUUUCAAGAGGAAAAAGAAAUAAAUACAAGGUAAAAUAUUGGAUGGUAAAAAUCCCCAACAAACAAAUACAAAACAGAUGGAGAAUGAAUCAAGUUCUGUCCUUUUGCCUUUCUGUAUUUAAAGGAGUUUGCUUCUGGCACAUUGUUUCCUUGUCAGAGGCACUUCAUUUUCUUUCGUCUCUUACCAUUUUCUCUCUCACUACAAAAGCAGAAAUAGCCACUUGGGACUGCUGAUGUCUUUCUAAGGAAGGAUGCUGCUCUCAUGCAGUAGAACAGCAUCAAGGCUUUGGUCAGUCAAAACAUAAAAAUCUCAUUGUUUUCUUUGAAAACAGAUUUCUUUUUAAAUCAAGGCCCAAUCAAUUACAUGCAUCAUGGUAUAUUCCCCAGCAUGGCAGUCCUUCUCAUCUUCUGCAUUUUCUGCCUCCCCCCUUCCAGUACAUACUCUCAUUUUACAGCCUUCUCUACCCAUUGCUUUUGUGGAAGCUGAGCUUUCACAAGUCCAUACUAUCUUUAGGGAGAAUUAUGUGUGAACAGCACAUCCAAAAAAAAACAAAAACAGGGGCAGUAGUUCAGGUUGUUCAGUGUGUAUUCAUUUGUCCCAUUCAUCAUUAGUCGGGAUUGUGAGACCUCUGGUGACUUUGAAAUUUUGAUCAGCAUGCCUGUCCUGAUGACAGGCAAAUGCACUUUCAAAGGGAAUAAUAAGCUGAUUUUCAGAAGUCAUGACAGCUUUCACAUACAAACAUGUCAGCUAGAUAGACAUGUAACACAAGACUAUGCACCUCGGCUGUUACCUCUGUAUGCCCUGGGGCACCUUCACAGCACGUGGUCCCCCUCAAACACCAGGGUACAAUCCACAUGAGAUCAACAGGGUUACUGAAAACUUGAGGCAUUGUUUCAAAAUGCUGUUUGAGCAGGGGUUUCUUUGCUGAGGUUUGUUUGUUGGGAGUUUUUGUAGAGAAGGAGCAUAGUAAAUAUAAGAGGGCCAUUUGUAAUUGUGUGUGUCAGAAAGUUUCCCAAAGCAAGAGCUUCAGCAACACUUCCUAAAGACAGAUGCAUAAUACUACUUCCUCAAAACCUACUUUCAGAUGGCAGUAAUAAUCUAACUGUGAUUUUGGUCAUGACAACACCUUUAAAUUGGGUGGGGUUUUCAUACAGGGAAAAACUCUUUCUAUUUCUUGUGCAAAUCACACAUUCUGUAUGCAGACUACAAGUACUUUAUCUGUCAACAAACUGCAGCCAGAUUCAGAUGAAUAGCUGUGAUUUACCGCAGACCAAGGCUGCACUUGCACCAUGAGAAGAGAGCUAUUCAGCCUGAAUCAGACUGAAUCCAGGAUCUUGGAGAUUCUGCCUUAAAUUGCCAUGCACAUGCUGGGAUAGUUAGCCUGUCAGGACCAGGCAUUUCCUAGGGCAAUGUCCUCCAGCACAUGGUUAGCUUUCAGAAGGUAAACAAACCCAGCAGAGAUGCUGAUGAGUAGCAAGUGGUCUGAAGGUGCUUUGCAUCCCAGCUUCCUUCUUCUUCCCUUUGUCAUGAGUCAGUCCUUCCCAACCUACUUCAGUCCUUUAACAUUUUGACUUCUGGAGUUGGUGCCAGCCCCACUGCAGCUCAGAAUAUGCCGGGGGAAAAAAUAGAAUUAAAAUCAAUCAAAAGUCUGAAGUAGCCUUAACACAGGUUGUGGAAGAGUAGAGCCUUUCUAAAGGCAAGCUUGUGGUCAGAGUAUACUUGCCUGGAGUAUCUGAGGGAAGGGGAUCUGGCUGAAGGGGCUGUCUUACAAGACAUGGGGGAAAAGAGAUUCCUGUUUGCCUUAUAAAACUACUGACAGCACAUACAGAUUUGUCACGGUUUGUGAUAUUAAUGAUAGCGAUGGGAUGUGGGACUUUCAGAUUUUACAUCUCAGAUUCAUAUUGCUGACAGCUCACUGCUCAUCGGUUCCAGUUUGGGGCAUCUUCUCAUCUAUUUUUAGCUACCUAAAGAUCUGGCAUAUGGUCUGAGCUUGUCAUUUCCCUUCCUUUUAGAAUCAGUGGAGAGGGCCAUGACUCGGUGAGCUGUCCUAUCCUGUCCUGCAGGACUGUGAGCUUGAAUGGGGAUAUCAAACUGGAGACAGCAGCGCUCACUGAUCUACAAGCAAAGGUGGUUGAAACAGACUGAGAAAAGGGCUUUGCUUACACAAUUAGGAAAUCUGGUUUUGUGCUCAGCUAAAGCACUGUAUAUCAGCGAGAGAAGAUAUGAACCAUGUCUUCACACUCAGGCCCAAUGCCUUUAGAAAUUACAAUAGGCUCUCUGAUAUUUGUAUUUGGCAUGUCAGUGCAUGAACACCCUUGCUUACACAGGAUAAUCAUGGGGACAUAAAAAAAAAUACAAGCCAGCAAGACGGAAACACUUGCAAACAUCUCUUCAGACAAAAUAGAAAAGUCAGAGUACUGAGCUCUGCCUGACUUUUAAAACCCUCAUUUCCUCACUCCUGACAGGUGUGAUCAGGACACCAUCCUGUUUGGGGACUGUUUUCUAAAGGAAACACAUGCAGUAAAUGAACCUUGAUUUAAAGUUAGAGAAUGACAUGAGUCCAAACCAUCUGGCUUGUGAUCCAGCUUCAGCCUCCCUCUUUACAAAACUAAGGUUCAGCCUUUUUGUGUUGCUUUGAGGACUGCCCUUUGCUCCUCUUCAGGCUAUGUGGUCCUUGUGUUCAUACAGCCCCUGGGGGAAAAAAAAAUUAAACCAAAGCAAAACAGCCCAAAAUUCAUCCAAGGGUUAAAAGGAAUAGGUUGGUGGCUCGUUACGCCACGCCGAGUGCCCAUUACUUUUGUUGACUUCAAGGCCGUAGUCACUCACAGAGAACGGGCCUAUAAUAUUUACAUUGGGAUUUCAAGGAAGACUGCUCCUAUAAAUUAGUAAAAGGCAUGAGUCAUCCCAGCACAGUGUUGGAUCCAAGAGAUGCAGUUAUCAGCCCAGCAUAACACUCUAGCAUCUGUCCAAAACACUGCACACCCUCAUUAGCACGCUAUUCCUGGGAGCUAAGCAGGCUGAAGGUUGCAAAGAGGUGCUAUUGUUAUACCAGGAGUAAGUCUUAUGUUUUAUUGAUACCCAAUAAACUGUGUGUUAGCCUGAAAGCACAGAGAAAGAGAGAGAAGGAGCAGAGGGCUGGAGUAGUCUGUUAUAUAACACUCAAACACAGGGAGUGGAACUGGACAAAUCCUUUUCAAUUACUUUUUUUCAAUAAAUGUCAGGUUUGGGGAGGAGGACCAUCUGAGCAAAUUAAUAAUUAAUAAGAAUACAUUCAUCCUGCUGUACAGCUGGACACAUCACCUGUGAAUAAAUCCCCCAGAUAAUAUAUUUGUGGAUCUUUAUAAUAUUUUUUCAUUCUGCUUUUUUCACCUUUUUUUUGGUGUCAGUCAAGUCCCAGUUGUCCUAGGAUUUUCCUGGAAAUCAACUAGCAAGAUAACCACUUGAGGGAAAGGGAACAAGCGUGUGGACCUCAGGCACUUGGCUGUUCAGGAGCAGAAGUGAUGUUUGCAAUGAUUAGGGCUCCUGGCAAUGCAGGGAACCUGGCUGGUGAGCUGCACAGAUUAGGUGAUGUGACAGGACUCUGGAAAAGAUAGACAAAUAUGGGUGCUGUGCACAAGCUGGGAAUUACUGUGGGUGUCAAUUAACCUUGCAGAUCACAGGGUUUAUUAGGCUGAAUUAUUUAUCCUGAAGAUAAAGCACUGAAAGAAAGUAAGGCAUCAUUAAACAGCACAGCCUUGCACAGAGUUUAGGCAGUGAACCAAGUUUCCGAACAAUUUAAUUUAUUAGGGACCUAAAUUGUGCUAGAUUAUCAAAUCAAGUGGAAUAGAGGGAGGCAAUGCAUUUUAUGUUCAGUGUUCAGAAUGUAAUAAGUGUGUUAUUCCAUUCAUGCCAUCUCUCAGCCUGAGUUAUGAAGAGAAAGGGAUAUUUCCUCUGUAGGGUAAUUUUCCAUUUUAUAUCCAUUUUUAAAAACUGUCAAACUGUUGUCAUGAAGGAAAAACAUUUCUAGUUUAUCACUGAAGCUUGAAACCUGUUAAAUGUUAAUGUAAAAUGGAGCACUACAUAUAGUCCCAAUACAAUGGGAAGAAGCUUAACUGUUUGAAGUCUGUCUUUGUGAAGAUUAUACCCUGGCAGAAAAAGACAAUAGGAGAGUUUUGCCUUGGGAAAAGGGAGAUUGACAGGUCUGCAUGUUUUUCUGCAAUCAAUAUUGUAGACAGAGCUCUUCUUACAUGGUGGGGUUCAAUUAAAGAAAAAAACACUAGAAUUUGGGGGAAUUCCCUAAAGAGUUCAAAUCCUUUCUGAGAGGAGGGAAUGUUUUUUUCAAGAUGAGCUUGCAUGAAAAAUUCAUGCAGUGGAUGGAUACAUUCAUACAAGAAGAAAUUUGAUAAAUAAAUAAUUGUUUUAAUACUGAGUCACAUAACAGUUGCUUAUCCAUAUUGACCACUUCAGUUGCAAAACCAGUCCUUAGUGUAAACAUGUGUAAAAUUAAAUCAUCCAGAAAAACAAAAUAAGGCAAAAGGUCGUACAUGUUAACUGAAGCAAGUAGUUCAUACUAAAGUCUCUCACAACAUCCAAGAAAUAAGAAACUGCCAUAUGCAGACAAGAAACCAGUACAGGGAUGAACACAAAGAGCAGACAAAACACAGCAUGAAAGCGGGUGAUAAGCAGAGAUUUGCAGCCAUCAGGAAGGAGAGAAGAGGAGGCAGCUGCAAAGACAGGAGGCCGGAAAAGAUAGACGAAUUGAGCUGGAAAUAUAUACAGUUACGAUAGCAGCUAUGAAAGCAAUGACAUGAAACUGCAAUUAGCUAGCUGUACUCGACUGCUAUUCAGCCAUACUUGCAGCCCUCUCCUCAUUUUCCCCUGUAUUGACUGCAUGAGAGUCAGUUAUCUUUGCUGGAAAAGAGUUAUGUAUAGAACACCUGGGAUGGGCAAAAAAAGCGCCAGCCUGGUCUAAGGUCUCUGCAUCUCCAGGCCAUGGAGAAAUUCAAGAGGAGGAGCUCGGGGAGAGCUCAUCAACAAGCACAGCCUGCAUUUCUACUGCACUCCUUCCCCACCAGGAAAGCAAAAUCAAAGAGGGAAAACUGCGAUGCUUUUUCUUCUAGUAAUUUCUGUGUCUUUGGCACCUGUCAGUUCCUCUCCCUCACCUUUUUUCCAUCUUUGCAUGGUUGUUUUAUGUGUUGUCUCAUAUAGUUUUCUGUCCUCAGCCAGUUCUUCCCUGAGAUAUCCACAGCUCAAUGAGCAAUCCUGUAAACCUCUUUCCCUUCCUUUUUUGCACCUUUCUCCACCUGCCUUCUCCCCUACCCACACCCCUUGCUACAAGAAACCCUCUUUUGUGUUUCUUUCACAAUCUCUCUCUGCACAGUCAUAUUCUUUGGCUAUGUGAUUCUCUCUGCACCAAGGGAAGCCCUCAGAUGUAAGACUGAAAUGGCCUUUUCUUCAGUCACAGGGGGACUUCAACUUAUCAGAUGUAUGCUGGAAAUAUGAAACAGCACAAAGGAAGCAGCCUAGAAGGUUCCUGCCACAACUGGUGAGUGUGGCAACUAGGGAAGGAAAUCAUGAAAUGGCAGAGAUUGUUGGAGAAAUAAGGAGGACCAGCAGAACUGCUAGCUGGGACUUCCAGGGGACAGACAUUGGCCUGUUCAGGAGCCUGGCUGAGAGAGUCCCUUGAGAGGCAAUACUAAGGGACAGAGGAGUCUAGGAGAGCAGGACAUUCUUCAAGAAGGAAAUCUUAGAGGUGCAGAAGCAGACCACUCCCAUGGGCCAAAAGACAAGCUGGUGGGGAAGACCAGCCUGGCUGAACAGAGAUCUUUGGCUGAAAUUAAAGAAAAUUACCUUUGGAACAAAAGGGCAACAACUUAGGAGGACUACAAGGAUAUAGCAUGAGGUUGUGCAGGGACAAAAAAAAGGGGGCCAAAACCCAAUUAUAAUUUAGGGCUAUGGUUUACUGGAAGACUUGGGGGUGCUGGGUUAAUGGUUGGGCUCAGUGAUCUUAAAUGUCUUUUCCAACCUGAAUGAUUCCAUGAUUUAUCACCUUUUCCCUUCUCUGAAAGGGACUCCCAAAGACUUGCUCUGAGCAUUUUUCUUGAACUGCUCCUCAGUGACAAUGAGCUUGGCUUCCUAAGCAGACCAAAUAAAUGAGAAGAAAAGUCAUGCCUUCCAUCCUUCCCCCGUAACAGUAAUUACCUUAGGAAAAGAAAAUUUUUCCCAUUUUUUUAGAAAGGAAGAGAUAAUGAACUCUCCCUCAGCCUAUGGUACUACAAUAGCCCAUGCUCUGCUUUGACUCAUGACUGGGUUAGUCAACUUCAAGUAAGAGAAGAGUACUAUGUAGUAAAAAAUACUAAUUUUUAAAGAAUUAACUAAAAACUAGAGGCUGGUGGUUUUUCUUAGUUAUAGGAUACAUCCAAACUGCAUUGCUUAGUCACAAACUGUGUCCCUUACUACAUUACAUUACAUGUUUCAACAAAAAAGAGCCCCUCUGUGAGGGAGGCUGGUGAGCAGACCUACUUGUCCAUUACAAUGGUGAGGACAGGUUUUGGCAAAUAGUGCUUGGACAGACAGCUAGGUUUAUGCAAAAUAACCUGAAUCUCUGAUUUAUAAAUCUGUAAAAUCCAUCCUUGCAGUAAAAGGAGAAAACUCAUGUGCCUGUGCAUUUUAAGGUCUUGUCCAAAAGACCCUACUACAGAAAAGUCAUUUAAUCUACCUUAGAGGGAUGAAGGGCUGAGUCAACCCUGCUAGGAUUUGAACCUAUCACUCCAGGGAGCCUAAUUAUUGCAAAUGUGCCAUUUAAACCACUAAACCCUUCCCUCCUGCUCUAAUCACUUCUCAAAGAGUCCGUUUUGAUCCCCAAAGUUUACACAGCACCUGUGAUAAAGGCAAAGUAUUUAACAAAGUCUCUUUAAGCUGAGUAUAUCAUUAUUCAUAUUACAGCAGGUUUAAAAGAGCUGGGCAAGGAUGAGAACAUUGUGCUGCAACAAAGAUCACAGUGGCAGCAUCACGAAUUGCUUCUCAGCUCCACUCUCACUUUUCUUUCUACUGCACAAUAGAAAAACAGAGAGAGGAGAGCUGAAACAAACUGUGUGUGCUCCCUCCGUGCUGCACCCCUAACCACAGGUUUACUUGAAAGAGGUUUCAUGUCAUGUGUCUUGGCCACAGGCUGGUGCAUGGCUGGAGGGUGACACCUGAGUGCGCCUUGUUCCCCUCUGUACCCACGGCAAGUGUCACCAGGAGCCAUGCACUUGGGAAUGUUCAUGUUCCUGACAGGGGCAUGACAGGCGCUCCAGGGCUGCAGGAGCAUGGGAGCCUCGGUGUGUGGGCAUUGGGAGGGCAUUGGUGCUGUGGGGUAGCAGGUGAUAAAAUAUCCGUAACAGGAAAUGCUAACGACAGGUCCUUGAGGUUUUUGCUUUUCUCAGGAUGUUGGUAGUAUUUCUGCACAGUUUAGAAGGCAGAAGUGGAAGCUGAAGAGACUCUUUUGACAAGGCCCCUUGUUGGAGUUGGAAGGAAAAGCAGGGCUGAAGAAUAAAAGGAAGACUUUUUUUUUUUUCCAAUUCUGAGCUUAAAAAAAGCCAUAUUCCAUGUUCUUCCUCAGAGAUAACAUUGCAGCAAAUAAUUUUGCCUUUUAUUCCCUAGGAGAAAAGGGAAUUUUUGUCCACCCUUCCUCCUUCCAUUACCUGGAGGGGAUGCAUUUUUUUCUACUGACAUGCAGAGAGACUAAAUCUAAAAUGCUAAUGGACUGGCAGUGUUUGCAGUGGGGUGAACAGUUUUCUACUGGAAGGCUGGUUGGCAGGAUACCGUCCUGCAGUCAUUGAAUCAUUGCACUGAAUCACAGCCAUGUUGGCAGGAUCCCAUUCUGAGGAAGUUCACAGUACUGUCAAACACCUGCUGUUGCCAUUGAAUGAUAUUAUGCAAGAUCUGAAAUUCUAUUUAUCGAAAUGCCUAUUUGAUUUUUUCCCCCCUCCUUUUCAGUCACUAGUCUCAAAUGACUGCAGCAAAACCUAUUCCCAAGAGCAUUUUAAUUGAGCCUGAUGCCAGGAUACCAGUUCUCACAGGGUGAAAAUCUGCUCUUCUUUGUGCUGAUGCAGAGAUUCCAAGGUAGCACAGGAUAUAAAGACACAGCAUCAUUCCUACAGCAUGUACUCUGCAGUUACUCAGGUAAGAAGAUCAAACAGACUGACUCACAGAAGCCAACAACCUUUUAUUUCCCUUGAAAGCCCUAGUUGUACAGCCUGGUGGGAGAGUCCACUGCUAUAAAUAGGUUUUAUCUCCUAGUCUUCUUAAAGAUAGUGGUUGUUUCAAGUUUGAGUCACCAUUAUGAGAAGCUUGGCUUACACACAACUAGGAAGUGAACAAUGCCAGGUUAUGAGAGCUAGAGAGCAAGUAUGCUCUUCUUUCUCUUAGCUCAUAAGAUACAGUAAUUUAAAGUGGUAUUUCACUGGCAUAACCCAUGCCUUCUGUCCUGCUAUACAUCCCAUUUCACCUUGAUGUUUUGGGGACCUUCCUCAAAAGCAGUAGCUCCACUCUGUCUCUGACUUGACUCCCAGCCCAGCUGGAAUCAAGCACCUCUGGCACAUUCCUGCCCCAGGGCAGCCCCAGCCAUCCCAACUCUCUAUGCAGCCACCUGCAUCAUGACCAAAUCUUCUCCUUAUUUUUAUUUCUAUGGACCUGACAUUCUCUUUCCUGCAAUCCUCUAAUUUUGUCUGUUUUACAAACACACUCCCUGACUGACUUUCCUCAACCAGGAAAUCUGCUCUCUGCACAAAAAAGGUCUCUUGCCCAAACUAAAAUAUCUACCUGGUUGGCAAUUCAUGAGGGGAUGCCAGCAAGUUAUGCCAGGCUGCAGCAGAGCUCUUCCUGUCAAAGCCCAGUCUUUCCUGCUGGUUCUUUCUUAAGCAAUUGGAUAACACUGUUACCUUGCAUCAAACUCACAGUCUGUGUGUGAGCCUCUCACACCCAUCCCCUAGCUUAAAUUUCACCUUUUUAAAGUAAAAAUAAAAUCGAACUUCCUUAUCCAGUUACACAAUAAAAGCCUCAACCAGGAGCUCAUUAACUGGGGUUUAGUUCUUGCUGCAUCCUUCACUUGAGCACUAACACAAUCUUGCCUUGCCAGUAUUCCUCUGAGCACCACUGCAAAAUCAUUUUUAUAGCCUGUCUGUUUGCUCAUGUCAGCUCUCAUUGUGAAUCCCUCCACUGGCUGCCUUUUCUCUGUUGUAUAAAGAUAUUGCUUGUCCCUGUGCUGUCAUUUUCUUUUUAACACUUAGAAGAUGAUUUCUGUCUCCCAUUUGCCCAUGGCUCUCAUCUCUGCUGCCCCCUUUGAAUCUCAGACAAGCCCAUUUUCUUUCAUACCAUAUUCUCCUCCAUGAUAACACCUGGAGUUUCAAACAGCAUGUCCCCAAACAGGUGUAGAAAAUGCCUUGUUUUUGUCCUUGAAAUCUUUCCUCUACACUUGCCUUGCAUGGGAGAGUUACAAAAGCCUUCAUACAGUUAGGCUGGCAAUAAGUUCUUCACGAUGACCCAGAAUCCCUCUCCAGCUUCCUUUCUUCCACAAGAAGUCACCGUCUUUUCAGCAGAUUGUGACACAAUAGGAUUUAACAACAAAAAAAAAGAAUUCAAGUAAGUUUCUUUAGAAGAAACCAAACCAACAAUCAAUCAAUCAAACAAAAAAAACUAAGCUCUAUGAAAACUGCAAACCACACACAGUUUUUUACAUGUAUAUUUGAACAGAGCCCAAAAAUUAGUUUAUAUUUGUAGGAAGGAUGUGACGGAACCUGAAACUGGGGUAACAGAGAUUAGCUACUGGGAUAGCAGUAAUGCAGAACAGUGUCCAAAACCACUUUCCCCCCCAGUCAUGUGCAGAGCCUGUGGCAGUGCAAGGCCCUGGAACCCUCUCACAGAUCCCCAGUUAGAGCCAAGCACUCAGGCAUUAAUCAUCUGCACACUUGCUGUCUUCAAGCUGAUACAAGCUAUUCACUUCUAAACUAAGAGCUCAGAAGCAAUGGCUUUUAAAACCAGGAAGCAAGAUAGUAAUUAAUAUGACCUGUCUAUCUCCCAGAUUAUUAAACUGCAUUAUGAAUGUUUUGUUGCUGAAGAUUAAUUAUGUAAAUCUUCACAGGAGUCUCACACAACUGAAGGAAAUAUUAAUGUUUGUUCAUCAGCUCUGAUUUUUAGCUCUCAGCUGAUUUCUAAAGGUUGUUGGAGUUCUAGUCUGCUAUCAACAUCACACAAUUACCAUUAGCAGUAGCCCCAGUGCUUUGUGCUGCAUGUAGUUAAUAGCUCUGUAUGCAUGUGGUUGACUAGAGCUUGUCACAGAGAUCCACACAAACACUGUCUGAACCUAUGGAAAUGGGAGGUCUGGAGCUGCAGCUCUGGCUGUGGUCACAUCCACUGCAACCUGCUCCUAAUUCCAUGACCAAGAGUUGCCAGGUGAUUCAUGGAAAAAAAUUGUUUAGUGAAAAAUAAAAGAAGAUGAAUUUUUAAGACCAUUGGAACAUUAAAUUUUUUUUUUAUUAUUACUUUUUCACUGUGUAAUACAGAUGUCAUUCUAAAAAGCAACUUUAAAGCCUUGCAUGGAUUCCUUGGAGGUUUUUAUGUGCUACUGGCAAGCAGAAUCAGCUGAGAUGUAUUGUUUCUGCUGAAAUUUUCAUGAAGUUAAAUUAAAUUACUUUCAGCAUGUCCAAAACUCAUAGGCUCAAUAGAAAAAUAUGUUUUGGCAAGAUGGUAUUUUGUCAAUAGCAAGGUGCUAUCAUGAACCUGUGUCUUGAGGACUUUGUGGGAAUGUGAUCAUGUGUUCAAGCUCCAGCUUUAGUUUUUGUUAUCAGCAUGUCCACUGCUCAAAGUCACAGGAUUUUGCCACCCAUGAACUCUCCUGGACAGAAAGGAAGCUGUAAUGCAGGUGGAACACCUCAUUACAAAAGCACAGUAAGAAAUGAAUUUUAAACAUGGAGCAACUCUGCAUUUUAAGUUUCAAGAAAGGUGAGCAUCCUUGGCCACGCAGUUUCAGAUUCAGGAUUUCUCUUUCGUACUUCAGGCCUCAUAGUCAUUUAACAGUUUAUCUUUGCUGCAGAAUGGAUAUUUUCUUUUAAAAAAUUAAUCACUUUUACUAGAGCUAACCAUGGGAAAAUUAUAUGGCAAACCUGUGUCUUGUUGAUCCCACAUAUCUCAGUACAUUGUUGACCCUGAAACAUAAAGGCAGAAAUAAAAGAUAUCAUUGAUUUUCAGUCCUUCCCUAAUGAUCAUGUUAGCAGAAAAAUUCAGCUACCUUAUUUGUUUUAUACAAUCUCCAAGCACCUCUGUGCCUCCUCAGGAGCCAAACCCAGCACUUAUUAACACUCUGUUCCCCCGGGCUCCUUGUGGAACACUUGGUUGCUGCUGCUAGUGGCUUUCACGCACAACUGCACAAAAUUAAAAAACAAGCGUGUUAAAAAAAAAAAAAGCAUGCAAAAUUAACAUGUGAACAAACAACAGGGGCUACACAAUUGAUUAUAUUUUCACUGUCAAGUUGUAUUAAUUAAAGGUUCCCAUCCCAUAAUUAAAAUGAAGCAGCCAGAGAAACUCCACCAUGUUUUGCAGGGUUGCUCUUAGGGGUUUACAAUUAUGCUGCCACGUAGUGCCCAGGGCUUUGAGUGAAGAGAUCAUUCUGAUCAAUGGCAUUCAGAGCCUGGAUCCCAGUUUUCAUGAAGUACAGGCUUGUGACCCAAGGUUUUGUUCUGGCCCCAUCUUUAAUUAGAACCUGCUUUGGCUUUCCCUAACUCAGCUGCAAUACUUGGCAUGGACCUCCUGCAUAUUUAGAUGACAACUAAUGAGGAUUUUUAUUAAACUUGAGCCUUGGCUGGGUAGGAAAAGGGAGCAGCUUUUUAGCAUCGGAUGGAAAAGACUUUUGCCUCUGGAAUAUUUCUCAGCACGGAGCAAAGAACUGGGGGAGGAGAUGGCAAUAGAAAUGCUGUCAGUGCUGCCACUAAUGGGGCCUGCCUGGGGCACACUGUUUGGUGUCCCUUGGAAGGUGACCUUGACUGCUAACAUUUACAUUUUAGCAGCCAUUUGGCAUAUUUGAUUGUGUCUACAGCAGAAAACGACACAAUUCUCUGAGAGGCAUGUAGCUCAGAUCAAUGACUUCAAUGCCACUGUCACCCUGUCCUACUAUUCUCUGAUCUUUGCCAGUUUGUCUGAAAGUGCAGGCCACAAGAGCACCACGGCACUGCCCCUUCUUAUGAAUGUGGGCAAUUGAUUCCCCACAUCAAGCACUGUCCAUACAGGCUGACUCAAGGUACAAUCUGCAAAUCAGCGCCCUCCUCAAAACAAUAAGUAAUUGAAGUGGGUAAGAAAAGCAUUUGUUGUCCUAUGAACCAAAGAGCUGGCCAUUAUUAUUUGCCUUUGGUGUGAUUUAUCAGGCUUGGACAUGUGGGACAGACUGUAGGUGUGUGCCAGAGGUAUUGCUGGGUCAGAUCCCAGAAAGCUUUGUGACUGCAGCUCCUGUCAUUUCCUUACCCCGCAGGAUCUAUCUUGCAGAAGGUGGAGAUUUGACAAUAACUCCGUCCUUUCUGCCACAUGUUUCAGAAGUUCAGCAGAUGGCUGUGUGCUCCUACCACCUGGCCAAAGGGUGCUGUCACCCUUCCAAACACAUGGCAUUAGCACCUCUGAGGGGCAGGCCUACCCACUGAUGCUGAUGUGCUUUAAUUCACAAUAUCAGGAUGGCGAAGAGCACACAUGGGGCUAGAUAGGAUGGCUUACCAGAUGGGUGGUAAUUUGUUAAGCCGCAAAAGCUUUCAAAUGAGUAAUCAUAAGCUAAGGUCUUCAGCCAACAUAAGAGUCAUCUGGUUUUUCUUUAAUAUAAUUGCAGAAAAAAAAAA